GCGUUGGUGGUUCAGUGGUAGAAUUCUAGCUUUCCAUGUUGGAUGCCUGGGUUCGAUUUCCAGCCAAUGCA
rnacentral:tRNA from 1 species